rnacentral:rRNA from 1 species
UACGUAGGGGGCGAGCGUUAUCCGGAAUUAUUGGGCGUAAAGAGUACGUAGGUGGUUUUUUAAGCGUAGGGUUUAAGGCAAUAGCUCAACUAUUGUUCGCCCUGUGAACUGGGAGACUUGAGUACAGGAGAGGAAAGCGGAAUUCCUAGUGUAGCGGUGAAAUGCGUAGAUAUUAGGAGGAACACCAGUGGCGAAGGCGGCUUUCUGGACUGUUACUGACACUGAGGUACGAAAGCGUGGGGAGCAAACAGG